rnacentral:tRNA from 1 species
CGUUAGCUCAGUGUCGGAGACUUUUAAUCUUUUGGUCGAUGGUUCGAAUCCAUCACGGCCCACCA